UUAAAUUGAAGAGUUUGAUCAUGGCUCAGAUUGAAUGCUGGCGGCAGGCCUAACACAUGCAAGUCGAACGG
rnacentral:rRNA from 1 species